UGAGAUGUCCCUGUUAAANUCAGGGUAACCGAGGCGAGAUCCCCUGCCCACUAGUUGCUAUCAUUAUUCUCAGGAUUAGUGGGGGCGAAUUAGUGGGACUGCCGUUGUUAAAACGGAGGAAGGAAGGGGCUACGGCAGGUCANUAUGCCCCGAAACUCUGGGGCCACACGCGGGCUGCAAUGGUAGUGACAAUGAGUUCCAAACUCGAAAGAGAGUGGCAAUCUCUAAACGCUACCACAGUUAUGACUGAGGGCUGUAACUCGCCCUCACGAAUAUGGAAUCCNUAGUAACCGCGUGUCAUUACCGCGCGGUGAAUACGUCCCUGCUCCUUGCACANUACCGCCCGUCGUUUCAUAGAAGUUUGCUUUAGC
rnacentral:rRNA from 1 species